CAGUCGCCGCGGUAAUACGUAGGGUGCGAGCGUUAAUCGGAAUUACUGGGCGUAAAGCGUGCGCAGGCGGUUCGUUAAGACAGAUGUGAAAUCCCCGGGCUUAACCUGGGAACUGCAUUUGUGACUGGCGAGCUAGAGUAUGGCAGAGGGGGGUAGAAUUCCACGUGUAGCAGUGAAAUGCGUAGAGAUGUGGAGGAAUACCGAUGGCGAAGGCAGCCCCCUGGGCCAAUACUGACGCUCAUGCACGAAAGCGUGGGGAGCAAACAGGAUUAGAUACCCCAGUAGUCCUGUCUCUUAUACA
rnacentral:rRNA from 1 species